rnacentral:rRNA from 1 species
UACGUAGGGUGCAGGCGUUAAUCGGAAUUACUGGGCGUAAAGCGUGCGCAGGCGGUUUUGUAAGCCAGGUGUGAAAUCCCCGGGCUUAACCUGGGAAUGGCAUUUGGGACUGCAAGGCUUGAGUGCGGCAGAGGAGACUGGAAUUCCUGGUGUAGCAGUGAAAUGCGUAGAUAUCGGGAGGAACACCAGUGGCGAAGGCGGCGAUCUGGGCAGAUAUUGACGCUGAGGUGCGAAAGCGUGGGGAGCAAACAGG